rnacentral:rRNA from 1 species
UACGUAGGUGGCGAGCGUUGUCCGGAAUUACUGGGUGUAAAGGGCGUGUAGGCGGGCAUACAAGUCAGAUGUGAAAUACCGAGGCUUAACCUCGGGGCUGCAUCUGAAACUGUGUUUCUUGAGUGUCGGAGAGGAAAGUGGAAUUCCCAGUGUAGCGGUGAAAUGCGUAGAUAUUGGGAGGAACACCAGUGGCGAAGGCGACUUUCUGGACGAUAACUGACGCUGAGGCGCGAAAGCGUGGGGAGCAAACAGG